UCUUGCUCUGUUGGAGCAUUUCUCAAGAGAUGUUCACGGGCAGGUCCUCAGAGUCAACCACACCACGGAUAAAGUUGAGGUACUAGGGGAUCAGCUCACCACAGCUGUUCAUGAUGAACACACGACGGACAUACAGUUUGAUGUUGUUCUUCUUCUUUUCUCCAAAAGGUCAAAGGGAGCUCGCCGAGGAAUGAAGAGCAAUGCUCUGAAUUCCAACUGACCCUCUACAGAGAAGUGCUUGACUGCCAAGUGGUCCUCCCAAUCAUUGGUGAGGCUCUUAUAGAAAUCACCAUAUUCUUCUUGAGUGAUGUCAUCAGGGUUUCUGGUCCAAAUGGGCUUAGUCUUAUUCAACUCUUCCUGAUCAAUGUAUUUCUCCUUAAUCUUCUUCGUUUUCUUUUUCUUAUCUUUGCCACUGUCAUCCUCCUCAUCUGAUCCCACAUCUUCAAUCUUUGGCUUUUCCUCAUCAUCCUUAUCUUCUUCCUCUUUCUCCUCUUUGCCACUGUCCAAUUUGGAAGGGUCUGUCAGGCUCUCAUAGCGAAUCUUGUCCAAGGCAUCAGAAGCAUUGGAGAUCAAUUCUUGAAGGAAAAUUUCCUUGUUUGAGUAGAAAGGACAUGAGCUGGGCGAUUUCUGCCUGAAAGGCAAAGGUCUCCCUCGCCAUGGUGCACUUCCUCAGCCAUCUUGACAGGAAAGCCGAGUGGUAGUACAGGGCCAGGUGGGCUCAGAGCGCCACCGACUGGCAUGCGGAGGCUAGGCUGCGCGGGGGUGACUCAAGAGCCAAAACGGUUGUCUUAAACAUGUUUUUUUUUGUUUGUUUGUUUGUUUGUUUUUG
rnacentral:lncRNA from 1 species